rnacentral:rRNA from 1 species
UACAGAGGAGCCAAGCGUUGUCCGGAUUGACUGGGCGUAAAGCGCACGCAGGCGGAUGCGCGCGUGGGGUGUGAAAUCUGGCCGCUUAACGGCCAGGCGCCAUCCCAUACGGCGCGUCUGGAGCCUUGCAGAGGUCGGUGGAAUUGCCGGUGUAGUGGUGAAAUGCGUAGAUAUCAUGAGGAAGACCAGUGGCGAAGGCGGAUCUCUGGACAGUUACUGACACUGAGGCACGAAGGCCAGGGGAGCAAACGGG